rnacentral:tRNA from 1 species
GCAUUGGUUGUUCAGUGGUAGAAUUCUCGCCUGCCACGCGGAGGCCCGGGUUCGAUUCCCGGCCAAUGCA